GGCUAACUUGCCCUCGAGACGGGAACAACCUCGGGAAACUGAGGCUAAUAUCCAAUAGGUGGGGAGACCUGGAAGGGUCCCUCACCGAAAGGGAGCUAGUGGCAUGCUUGCUAGUUUCGCUUGAGGAUAGGGCCGCAUCCGAUCAGGUCGCUGGUGAGGUAAUGGCUCACCAGGCCUAUAACCGGUACGGGCCGUGAGAGCGGGAGCCCGGAGAUGGGCACUGAGAUAAGGGCCCAGGCCCUACGGGGCGCAGCAGGCGCGGAAACUUCGCAAUGCGCGAAAGCGUGACGAGGUCAUCCCGAGUGCCGUCCGCUGAGGAUGGCUUUUGCCUGGUCUAACCAGCCGGGUGAAUAAGGGGAGGGCAAGUCUGGUGUCAGCCGCCGCGGUAAUACCAGCUCCCCGAGUGGUUGGGACGAUUAUUGGGUCUGAAGCGUCCGUAGCCGGCCGGAAAAGUUCCCCGUUAAAUCUGACGAUCCAAUCGUCGGGCUGCGGGGAAUACUCUUCGGCUUGGGGGCGAGGGAGGUCGGCGGUAGUCCCGGGGUAGGGGCGAAAUCCUAUAAUCCCGGGAGGACCACCAGUGGCGAAGGCGGCCGACUAAAGCGCGCCCGACGGUGAGGGACGAAAGCUGGGGGAGCGAACGGGAUUAGAUACCCCGGUAGUCCCAGCUGUAAGCGAUGCAGACUAGGUGUUGGGACGGCUACGCGCUGUCCCAGUGCCGCAGGGAAGCCAUUAAGCCUGCCACCUGGGAAGUACGGCCGCAAGGCUGAAUUUCUGGAGAAGCACGAAAAUUUUUUGUUUUCUCGGAACAGUUUACU
rnacentral:rRNA from 1 species